UACGUAGGGACCGAGCGUUGUCCGGAAUCAUUGGGCGUAAAGAGCGUGUAGGCGGCCUGGUAGGUCUGCUGUGAAAACUCGAGGCUCAACCUCGAGAUGUCGGCGGAAACCAUCUGGCUAGAGUCCGGAAGAGGAGAGUGGAAUUCCUGGUGUAGCGGUGAAAUGCGCAGAUAUCAGGAAGAACACCUAUGGCGAAGGCAGCUCUCUGGGACGGUACUGACGCUGAGACGCGAAAGCGUGGGGAGCGAACAGG
rnacentral:rRNA from 1 species